rnacentral:lncRNA from 1 species
CUGGAUAGGCAAGACCAACCACUUACCAGAUGGGGAAUCUUCCAGUGCUAAUAGUUCAGACUGUGCAUACAAGAAACUGAGAGAAGGACAAGUACUGUUUUGUGGUUGCAGGUUGUUCCGUGAUGAGAAUAGGGCCAACCAUAUUGGGAGUAGGCUGGCAGAGACUUACUUGUCUAGUCAUGGGCUUUAUGGCAAAUGUCUCUAACACUUACCACCCAAAGCUAUGCUUAUGGUGU